GAGCGGAAACGAAGAGGUGCUUGCACCUCUGGCGUCGAGCGGCGGACGGGUGAGUAAUGCUUGGGAAUAUGCCUUAUGGUGGGGGACAACAGUUGGAAACGACUGCUAAUACCGCAUAAUGUCUACGGACCAAAGUGGGGGACCUUCGGGCCUCACGCCAUAAGAUUAGCCCAAGUGGGAUUAGCUAGUUGGUGAGGUAAUGGCUCACCAAGGCGACGAUCCCUAGCUGGUUUGAGAGGAUGAUCAGCCACACUGGGACUGAGACACGGCCCAGACUCCUACGGGAGGCAGCAGUGGGGAAUAUUGCACAAUGGGCGCAAGCCUGAUGCAGCCAUGCCGCGUGUGUGAAGAAGGCCUUCGGGUUGUAAAGCACUUUCAGUAAGGAGGAAAGGUUAAGUGUUAAUAGCACUUAGCUGUGACGUUAC
rnacentral:rRNA from 1 species